GGCCGAAUAAUUCAGACAAAGCAUUUUUAGCAUUUCACAGCCAGCAUCUCCAGUGACGGCAAUGUUGGUAGAUGCUGUUUUCAAGCUUUCCAGUCUGAGGCCCCAUCUUAAAAAGGGGUUAGCUGAGAAACUGGUCCGCUGGCAGCGCAGGAGGUCUGGUCAUCUGGAGGUGGUGGAUAGUACUGUUGGGGGACCAGCGGAUGUGUCUGCCCCCUGUCCCCUCUCCCUCCACUGUGCAAUGAGCUGCCUGACAGGGUGGCUGAUGCAAAAAGUGCGGAGGUCUCAGGGCCAUGGGUGCUUCACGAGGGGGCUGCUUUCCAGAGCAUCGCGAGGCUGGGCCUGUGGGCCAGAAGCAUCACGUGGAGGGUCAAGUUCAGAACUACCGCAAGGAUGCUGAGAGAUCGCAUCUGAGGAGUGAUUCACGGGUGACAACGGGAGCACAAGGAGCCGACUCUGGUGCGGGAUGGUGGAGAACCAGACGGACCAGGUCCCAGGAGGCCAGGGAGCUCUUGGGCCAUGUGUGUGCCUGUGCAGUGUGGGGGACCACUGGCCUUUCACAUGACUGUGGGAGGGCUGGAGGUGGGAUGGCAAGGAGAAUGCAGGCAGGAUAACAAAGAAGGCUCUGAGCCUUUCAAAAAAUAGGGAAGUGCGGCCAGAUGGCCUGCCCACGCUGAGGGACGUUUAGGAAGCGCUCUGUGUGAAGGAGGUGGACUUUUAGUCUUGAGAGAUCCCAGCCGGUUCUCCCAGCAGCACCCAUGUGACUGAGCCUCAGAAAUGGGGGAUGAUGGCAGUCGGUGGUGGGUGAGUCACCGUGCUUUGUGUGGCUGGGAGCCAGUGCUGAGCCCACUGGUGGAGGCAUGAGGUUUGGGUGCAACCUUCAUUCUCAGGGUCCUGAGGCUGACCCAGCCUGUCGCUGAUGAGUCAUGCAGUGGAACAACGACCUUCCUCAAGUGGCAACUAGUAGGAGCUUCCCUCUGUUCCCUGACUCGAGAAAGAAAGGCUCGGAAGCUGGUCCAUGUGCUGCAGAAGGUUCUCACCACCUUCAGGCUGCGACGUCUGCCCUGGUCACUGGCUCCCUUCCUGGCAGAUGGCGAGCUCCACCGCUCAGAGGACCUGCUGGCGGCUGAGUCUUAGCAGAGUGUGGGUCCUCAACGCCUUCCCUGCCUCGUCUCCCUGAAGGAGAAGCUCUUGCUAAAGGAUUUUGCUGCCUCCCUUGGCAUUCGGUGCCCCCUUGAUUAUUUUCAAGUCAAGCACUUUUUCAGCUGUGAGCGCGUAUGCAGAUC
rnacentral:lncRNA from 1 species